GCCUGAAGUACUGGGCUUCCUCAGAAGGUGGAACUUGAGCUUGGCCCCUAAGUGAGAUCCAGUGCGACAGUGGAGCAUGUGUGCGCAGAGGAGACAGGAACAACAACCGGGAUGUCAUGCGGGCGCACUGGGGCUCCUUGUGGCCCCAGUGCACAGAAUUCUGGUGGACCCACCAUGUGUGGGAGCUCAGUGAGACUCAAAGCCCUCCUCACACAUCGUACGCUGAAGGUGGAGCACACUGGGAAAAUGUGCAUGCAUCAAGAAGAAAAAUGAAAACUGAUUUUGUGCAACAUUUCCACUGUUCUUGGAAGAAUGAAAUAAAUGCAUAUGAGCUAUGAAAUAUGGAUUGUAUAAUUCUAGUGAUUCUGCAUAUAAGUCAGAUGAUCUUAUUGAAAAUUGGCAUUGUACAAUAUAAAGAUGAACAGAAGAGUUCAUACUAAUAAUUUAAAAUUUUAAUUCUUCCUUUUUAGAAGAACAUGGGCAGAUUAAAAAUACCACCACACAUCAGGAAAGAAACCAGAAAAGAAAGAAAACAGCUUUCUAUUUUAAUGCUUUUAACAGUACUUAUGUCUGCUUUUUGAAAAGGAGCCCCACAGAUUAAGUACCCAGUCCUGGGCACGGGAAUACCCUGGGAUUGCUUUACAACCUCAAUUAGCUCUCCUCUCCUCCAACUGGUACCCUGAGAAAGACUUGGGUCCAUGCCACCAUCAUCUCUGGCCUGGACUCCUAAUUGGCCUCCCCGCUUCCCUCCUGAUGCUUCCCAGUCCAUUUGUCACUCAGCUGCCCAGAACAACCUAUUCAAAAGGCAGACCUGAUCUUGUUGAUGGUCCCUUCCAUACCCUCCCUGAUUAUAACUCUUCCCACCCCACUCAAAAUAAAUCCAACCAAGGUCUACAAAAUCUACCUCGUCUGCACACCCCACUGGCCUUGCCCUCACUCCAUACCCAGCCCCACUGGCCAACUUGCAGAUAAUCAAAGGUGCCGCAAUCCAUCCGGCCACAAAGCCUAGCACUUGUCCUGUGCCCUCUUUCUGAAACACUCCCCUGUCUCCCCACCUAGUUACUGCCCCUUAGCCCAUUAGAUUCUCCAUGAAGGGUCACUUCCUCAGGGAAGCAGUCUCCUCGCAUUCCCUAUCCACCCCAGGGGUACACUCUCAUAGCUCCCCAGAAUUCCC
rnacentral:lncRNA from 1 species